CCUACUCUUUUCUUCACGCCCAAAACAUACGCACAGAAGCUCACACAGCAACCGACAGCACAACUCAACCAACUGAAACGCAGCACGAACCCUCACCUUUCUCACGUUGUUGCCUCUCUCCCUCACUUUUUCCCUUUUCUCCCUCAAAUUCGUACAAUCAGCAUGCUUCGCACGAGGUUGAGGACACCUCGAACCUUUUGAAAAAUCGUCCAGGUGUGAUUCUCUCGUUUGCUCGAUUUAAACUCAAUUCAAAUCGACUGGAUUAGUACGAUUUCGUACCCAUCCAGUUGGUACUCAGGGAUUUUUGAAAAGUUUCCAAUUCCCACGUCGUUUCCCCCUCAAAUUGACCCAGAAACUGUCUGAUAUAAACCCGUCCCUCUUACUGUUCAUUCACGGUUUAGAUUUCUUGUUUUAAUGGCUGAAACCUGGUUGUUUUUGCGGUUAUUUCAAGUCGAAGUUGGUGGUGGAAUCGGCUUCUCAACUUGUGGUUUUAGUUCACUGAAAGACACAGGUAACUAGGAUCGGCAUUUCAACGCACCGUUGAUCCAGUGAGCAGUUCAGAGUCAGUCGGUGAGCCUCCUUGCAUUCCGGAGGAUCUAUUUUCAUUGCUUUCUAGUUUAAUCCAUUAGGAUGUUGUGGGGUUUGUCCCAACAUCCAUUUCAGUUGUUUUAGAGGCUUCAUAGACAGACAGUCAGUUGGUUUUUUUCAGUUGUCUUUACUCUUCAUUCUUAUGUUAAAGACUUAAGUUUGCCUAAAUGGCCAAUUGAAUGUUACUUUAUGA